UACAUGUAGUCACAGUGAUCAAUGUACACGUAGCUUUUGCAGUAACUAUAAUGGCCUUUGAGCCAGUUCAGUAUUCCAACUGCGCAUGUUCAAUACGCGGCUGUUAGGACCCGGCUAAGCGCACGCGAUAGUCUGUCCUAUCAGCACAGCCACAUGCAGACUCACGCGCGUGCGUUGUACCCUAAAGACACCUGGCUUUUUGAAAUACCGAACUGCUUAUUUGCCUCGAGCAGAUGCACCUCCUCACCGGUUGAAAAUAGCCGAGUUGGUAGGGAGUGUUCAUUUUGUUGGUAGCGAUGCGACUCACUGCAACGCUUACGUUAGUCUUGGUCAAGACGUUCUUGUUUGCUAAUACGCGAGAGGGCGCUCACAAGACAAAUAGCUGGAAAGCACGAACAACACCUAGCCACACCAGGGAAAUUGGUCAAAACAGAACAUACGACAGAAGCCUUGACCUCAUCUUUGUAUCGCGUGACAGCAGAAUCAGAGUUGAUAUCAAAUUGCUACAUCUCGUAGGGCCUACUUCCCGGUCACCAGAGUAAUAAAAGGUCUUCACCGUGUAAGCUAUUUCUUGACAAUUUGGUAAUUACUUCUGAAGGAUAAUCCCCUUCAAUUACUGCACAUAACACAUGCCCCCUCUGCGAAAGAAAUUUAUCAUUUUACAUAUUUGUACCAAUCUACCAGCUCUUUCUUUUUGCAGUGCGGUAUGUGUACAUAAAUUCCAAUUCCUUAGAUAAGCAUAACUGUCCAUUCGUCAUUGUCGGGUGUGUGAUGAACUGUGGUACUACGACAGUUUCCCUCUUUCGAAACCAUUCCUCUGAAAACGUAUCCGUCCACACAAUGUGUGUUUAUUGUAGCUUCCUAGUUUCGCUUUCGCAACGGCACGAGGCGCAGAAUUGAAAUAGCAAUGCUUAUUAACAUGAAUAAUUUAUGUCUUGUGGCGAGAAGCACUGACAGGAAAAGUCCAGUGCACUCACUUUCCUCUUGGCACCAUGGACGUUGGGGUUUCUCUUCUCGCAGUCUAUCUUAUGUGUUUGCAAUUCACAGGUCUAGCUGCGAACCUGUCUGUUCGAAUGGAUCCUGUCGGGCACCAGGUUGCAUCGGCCGGGACUAACGUAACAAUUAAAUGCAUCGCUUCAGGGAAUGCAAGCUUCGUGAAAGUACUGUUUAACGGCACGAAAGUGAUUUCUUCAUGCAACUCAACUGAAUUGCAGCAGACCAAUUCGUCCGAGAGAUUGUGUACUCACACAAUAGGACCGGUUGAUGAGGAAUCAGAAGGAAACUACACCUGCGAGCAAACGCUUCAUGGAAACGCCGACACGUCAGAAAGUAUGGUGCUUUGUGUUCACGUUCAACAACCCUACAUCAAUAUUUUCGACUUGACAACUGGAAGUUUAGUCUCCAGCACUGAUGCAACAUGCAUUCCCUUAGAAACCGAGCAGACCUUCGAGUGCAGAGUUCACGGGGUCUCACCCGACGUGUCCAUCGCUUGUUUGGGGAGGAGUUUGAGAGUUUGCGUCAGUCCACAAGCGAGUAUGAUGGACUGGUGACUGUGAGCAGCAACUUUACCGUGGCCAACACACCAAAUACGGGUCAGAUGAAGAAUCUUACCUGCUAUGUCAAAGGUCACUGCGACGUCAAUCUUGCAUCCACUAUCCAGCUUAUAUUUUGUUCUGGUUUCAAGCGGCAUGUUCACAUCUUUCUCCUGACACUGAAUGCCAUCACUCUGGUUGCCGCUACCACUGUCGCUAUCGCCCUUUGUAAACACGCCACCAGGACCAAGCAAGAUUAAUUGACACCUUCCUUCCCAUCGUGCGUCAUAUAGAGAUAGUAGGAAAGCAUCUCUGGUCGAGUUCCGGCGGUAUGUUCUUGAAACUAGUCUCUUAUUGUCGCGCUCGACCGGUAGAAACAUGACCCUACAACUCUGUACUCUGCACAGCUAGGAUUACACACCACCUCCGAUCCUCGUCAGGAUUUUACAGGAACACAAUACACGGACAAAAUCCUGAGACUUUGAUAUUUGAACAGUUUCAAAAAAUAGCCAGACGGCUUACAAAGCCGGAGAUAUGGAAAAUUUUGCUAAAUUAACAUUAAUCAUUAUUUUCCGUGACACAGAAGUGAUUUUUUAAUUAGUAGAAAAGAAUUCAGCGCGGUAAUCCAAACAUUAAUCUUCAACAAACAUUCAUGGAAGCCAACGUUGCAUGUUGCUUGCCACUAGGUCUUAACUAGCAGCGAUAACCAGUUGUACGUUCCCAGCGUUCGAGCGGCCAACCCCUGAACAAAUCGAGCUGUUUGCCAACAUACGCAAACAAGCCGCCCUAACUCAGCCACUGGUCUCUAUCAUCAGCAUAGAGGUCAGUGAACUCAGCCUACAGCCCCUGUGUCGUGGGUACGAUUGAAGUUAAGUGCGCCAUCAAUUAAUAGUUCGUCCGUAGAGGGCGCCCUUGAUAUGCUAUGCACUAAUUUGACUGCGAAGAAAAAAAGUUGCAACAAUUUUCAAAGUUAACUUUUGAGUUUGAGCAAAUUUAUAAAAACACAAGCAGACAAAAAAAUUCAAUUCAAACUAAGCCUGAUCAAAGAAAAACGUUUUCAGCAGUUCUGUGUCCACUUGUAAUCUGUGACCAAAGAAGAGUCAGAAGGUCAAACUCAUAAAUUGUGAUUACCUUAACUUUUUGAGACACUUUGCCACUUCUAAGUAUCUCCGGUGGAGAUUUUGAGAUGUCAGGAACAUACCCUUAAAAACCCUCGGGUCCUUCAAUUUUUACGUACGACCUUUGUAUAAAAAUAUAAAUGACAAGCAAACUAUACUUUCUGGAUUUUCUGGAUUUUCUAGUUGAGAGCAUAUAGCCGGAGAAGUAAUUAAAACAUCUUAAUCGACAAUAAUUUUGUUACCACAUCAUGCUGUACUCGCCCAUUUGCACAACUAACCGUACAGCUUGUAUAUACACGUAAUGUUUUGUACGGAAAUAUCUUAUGGAAUGGUGUCGUUGAGUAAGUUUCUCCACAGAUCCUCCUUUGGAACUUGCUUAAAGUAUUUCUGUAAGAUUGUAUACUGUGUUUUAUUCAUAUUGUAGUUGCGGUUUUUGGGGUGUAAAAUGUUUAAACAGGAGGAAAUAAAAGUGGACCAAAUUCGGUCUUUUAUCUACAGAAUUCACUUAAACGAA
rnacentral:lncRNA from 1 species